UCCAUCGCAGAGACGCAGAGCACCACAGAUGGGUCCUCCACUGCCGCAGUGAAGGACGUUGGGCCUCCCCUCCCUACGGCGCCCUCUUUUCUCCUAGCAGCGGCGCCAGUCGCUCGACGGAUCGGAUGCACCGAUGCACACGGUGUAGAAGGAGGCAAGAGAAGACGGUGGAAGGAGGACCGCCCCACGCCUCGCGAUCUCUCUUCACCGGCAACACUAUGGUACCUGAUCCUAGCGGAUGACAAUGGCAACCGCCACACAUCUGCCCCUCGAGCAUCGUCAACACAAACGAAUUGAUUCCUCAAGUUAUCUUCUAAAAUGAUCAGCGAUGAGGUAAGAUAGCACAAGUCAAGAUCUCGGGACAAUUACCAAUACGUAGGUCUUAUGAUGUUCUCUUCCUUAUUCUAAUGAGUUAAUUCUGAUCAUGCAAUAAAAAUGGUGGAUAGGUCUGAUCUUGUGAUCUUCGAUCAACUGGUGUGAAUUUGUUCAGUUCGUAUAAUUAAUCUGCCAAAAAGGAAUAUUAAGGCAUUGUGAUGUUUUCGUCUUCGUAUGUGCGGUAAAAAUUUCUAAUAGCUAUUUGAUUUUUCAGAAUGAAUUAGGUGGACUUGAUAUAUAUGCAGUACCCUCACUCUGGUUAGCCAACAGAAUGAAGGUUCAACAUUCAUGGUCAUGCUGCCUUGCUUUUGCUUGAAGAUGAGAGGCAUAUUUAUGGUCACACGGGUCAUCCCUCCAUUGUUUGGCAUGCCUUCAAGAAGUUGGUGCAGAGCGCCCGUUGGCCUGUUCGGAAUCGAAGUUAUAUAUUUUCUGUAUGCUUUCCUGAAAAAAAAUGUUUCCUAGAUGUUGUUCACAUUGUAAAAAAUUUGUAUGUUUGCAGGAGGUGGACAGUGUGGAGAGGUGCGGCGAGAUGAACAUCGGGGAGAAUGAGGGUGAGGUGGUGGUGUGGUGGUCAUGUUCUCGGUCGUGGAAGUGGUGGCGCUUGCCAUGGCUGUGUACCAUAAGUGGCUGACGCUGCUGAUUUAGUUUGGUCCACGCCGGAGCCUGCUGUGGCAUGCAAAGGAACCGUUGUGUUUGAGGUCAUCUGCUCAAGGUCCUAUGACCAUAUAGGGUCCAAUGCAGAUAUAAGUAAGUGAAGGAGUAGACAUGGAGAAGCAGUGUGGUCUUCUUCAGAACAACAUUAACUUGCACUGUCUGCAGAUAGUUUUAUGGAUUGAUCUCUUUGUAUAUUAUGUGACGGGUUGUGUAGUAGAGACAAGAUAUACCUUAUUUGUAUAAUAAAACAUUGUUCUUUACCUCUUGCAAUGUGAUAUUGU